CUGGACGCGAACGACACCGGCGGCGGCGAACGGAUGGCUCCCGGUGAUCCCGCUCCGGAAUCUGCUGAGACGAUGCUGAGACGCUCUCCGUCGGUGAGGUCCGUCCCGUCCGGGAAGUUCACAAACCCCCGGUGAGCUCUGUGUGACGAGGCUCCAUGACACUCUGUUUCGCCGCUGAAGCUCCCUGUCUGAGGGAGCGUCUUAUGCCACCUGACCAAAUGCUGGGUCUUCACUCCUAUCCUCCCGUUCCCCAUUAAACUCCCUCACCAGACCAUCCCUG
ensembl:lncRNA